GGGGAGUAGCUCAGCGGUAGAGCGUUGGGGUCCAACUUCAGAGAGGCAGUGUUCAAGUCCUGCCCCCG
rnacentral:tRNA from 1 species